rnacentral:RNase_P_RNA from 1 species
CAAGACAGACGGAUGGUUGCCCAGUCUGUUACCUAAUUAUCAGCAAUUAUUUUUAUUAAUUUUUGGUUUUUGGGGCAGAUUGGGAGGAAAGUCCGGACUCCCAUUCCUUAUCACAAGGAAUGAAGUGGGUAGUGGGUAACGCCCACCGCCUAGCCUCAUUAUAAAAAAUGGGGUUAGGUAGGGAAAGUGCCACAGAGACCAUACUAUCCCCCACCACCUUGUAAUUUCUACAAAUGUCCAACGAUAAGAUUGAGAUUAUAGGGUGGUGGGGGAGAAAGGUGAAAAGUGAGUUGGUGUUCCCCAUUUUUGGGGGGCUACAACUCUUCCCGGUUGGUGACAGCCGAGGACGGCAAACCCUACCCGGAGCAAGAGCAAACUCUAAUUGGCUUUUGGCUAAUUAGGGAGAAAGUGGCUCGCUUGAGCUUGCCAGCAAUGGUAAGCCCAGAUAGAUAACCAUCACUCAACUCGCCAAAACGGGUUGAGCACAGAAUCCGGCUUAUAGUCUGUCUUGACCU